rnacentral:tRNA from 1 species
GGCCCUCUGGCGCAACGGUAGCGCGUUCGACUCCAGAUCGACAAAUCUCGAGAUGCAAUCGAAAGGUUAUCCGUUCAAAUCGGGUGGGGGUCA